GGCCGUGAAAGAGGGUGUUUGACAUGUUCGUAAGACUUCUUCUUUAAUUUAUUAUCGAUUAUCUUGUUAUGCUUUGGUUUAAGACUUAAAAGUCUUGGGACACUAAGAAAAGAUAACUAAUUGACUACUAUAAGAGACGCAAAACAGCACUAGCAGUAAUGGGUGAAAAGAGUCUUCGGAUCAACAAGUCCUUGUCACUGACUGUAAAGGGUCUUUCUUUGCUAGCUCUGCAUGCAAUCUUGAGUUUUAUGCUGUCUGCAUUUACAGUCCUUUGACUAAACGUUGUCGUUGAUCGGAUCAUCCCUACGCGCCUAGACCAAAAAGCAUAACGGGUAAAUUAUCCAGAACUUGCAUCAUCCAAACUGCUUGCCAGUUUAAAUCUUCGCCGUAUGCUCGAGGCAUGGUUUUGGCAAAUUAAUUGGGAUCAAAAACAGCGAGCUCAAGACGUGUUAGAUAACAUAUGCGGCAGCUAGUAACUGUAAAUUAAUUAUCCCCAUGAUCCUUUUCGGUCUAGGCGCGUAGAGAUGAAGCCAAUCAAACGACAACGUUUAGUCAAAGGACUGUAUCUUCAUGUAUAUUCAAGGACACCCAUAUUUGCAUAUACAAAUUAAGAAAUGGUGCAAAGAUACAACCUUUAAAUUUUAAAGGAUACAAACUUCAAAUUUGAUCUGUACCCUGAAACAACCUUUGGGAUGACCAAAUAAUAUAAAGUCAGCUAGAGUAUGGCUAAUUCACAGAUUAAAUUCAUGGAAUUUAGAGCAGUUAGGAUUUGUGGAGAAAGUAAAACCACAGAACCUAAAGAAAAACACUAGAAUCAAGGGAGAGACAUAACUAAUUCAAAGAUUAUACCAGUCCUGCAUGAUUAAUUCUUAUAAUCCUUUUA